GAGAUUUUCGCAAUGCCCGAAAGGGUGACGAAGCGACGCCGCGUGCGGGAAGAAGGCCUUCGGGUUGUAAACCGCUGUCGGGAGUUAAGAAAUGUAAGGAUGUUAAUAGCAUCUUUGCUUGACUAAGGCUCCGGAGGAAGCCACGGCUAACUCUGUGCCAGCAGCCGCGGUAAUACAGAGGCGGCAAGCGUUGUUCGGAAUUAUUGGGCGUAAAGAGCACGUAGGCGGCUAUGUAAGUCGGUUGUGAAAGCCUUCCGCUCAACGGGAGAACAGCAUCCGAUACUGCAUAGCUUGAGUGCGGGAGGGGAGAGUGGAACUUCUGGUGGAGCGGUGAAAUGCGUAGAUAUCAGAAGGAACGCCGGCGGCGAAAGCGGCUCUCUGGCCCAUAACUGACGCUGAGUGUGCGAAAGCUAGGGGAGCAGACGGGAUUAGAUACCCCGGUAGUCCUAGCCGUAAACGAUGGGCACUAAGUAGAGGGGUUUUA
rnacentral:rRNA from 1 species